rnacentral:rRNA from 1 species
CCCUUAGAUGUUCUGGGCCGCACGCGCGCUACACUGAUGCAUUCAACGAGUCUAAAACCUGCUCUGAUAGGGGUGGGUAAUCUUUUGAAUGUGCAUCGUGAUUGGGAUAGAUGAUUGCAAUUUUUCAUCUUCAACGAGGAACGCCUAGUAAACGCAAGUCAUCAGCUUGCAUUGAUUACGUCCCUGCCCUUUGUACACACCGCCCGUCGCUCCUACCGAUUGAAUGAUCCGAUGAAUAUCAUAGACUGAGAGUAUAAGCAGGUUCGCCUGUCUUUGCUUCUCGGGAAGUGAAGUAAAUCUUAUCAUUUAGAGGAAGGAGAAGUCGUAACA